UACGAAGGGGGCUAGCGUUGUUCGGAAUUACUGGGCGUAAAGAGCGCGCAGGCGGUCGUACAAGUCGCGUGUGAAAGCCCCCGGCUCAACUGGGGAGGGUCACGCGAUACUGUUCGACUCGAAGGCAGGAGAGGGAAGUGGAAUUCCCGGUGUAGUGGUGAAAUGCGUAGAUAUCGGGAAGAACACCAGUGGCGAAGGCGACUUCCUGGCCUGUUCUUGACGCUGAGGCGCGAAAGCUAGGGUAGCAAACGGG
rnacentral:rRNA from 1 species